UCAUAUAAGGUCAACUCCAAACAUUCAAAACGCAUUGUUGAAUGGAAUUAGGUAUUUUGAGUGUUUGGAAUUGAACUUGUAUGC
rfam:Macaca mulatta chromosome 4, whole genome shotgun sequence.